rnacentral:rRNA from 1 species
AUGGUGGACACAGGAGCAGGGAGGAAGGAGGAGGCUCGUCGGAUUGAGGCCGGGGUCCACGGCAAGGUGCAGGCUACGGCGUGGGGCUCGACAGCUGCAGCCAUGGUCGACAGCCAUGGUCCAGGCUCGGGAGCAAGGGCAGCGACGACGCGUCUGGGCAUGGCGCAGGCGAGGAGAGAAAGAUGGAGAGGAGCCUUCAGUGUUCAUCUGAAUCAUCUCGGCAGCAAAGCUCACAUGGCGACGGAGGCGCACGUGGUGUUUGCAUGUUGCUCAUCCCAUGGCCUCCCUCCAGGCAUAUGCUCUCGUGGCCACAUGAGCCCCUGGGCGGCGUAA